GAGUUUGAUUAUGGCUCAGAUUGAACGCUGGCGGCAGGCUUAACACAUGCAAGUCGAACGGUAGCAGGAGAAAGCUUGCUUUCUUGCUGACGAGUGGCGGACGGGUGAGUAAUGCUUGGGAAUCUGGCUUAUGGAGGGGGAUAACUACUGGAAACGGUAGCUAAUACCGCGUAAUAUCGAGAGAUUAAAGACUGGGACCUACGGGCCAGUUGCCAUAAGAUGAGCCCAAGUGGGAUUAGGUAGUUGGUGGGGUAAAGGCCUACCAAGCCCGCGAUCUCUAGCUGGUCUGAGAGGAUGACCAGCCACACUGGAACUGAGACACGGUCCAGACUCCUACGGGAGGCAGCAGUGGGGAAUAUUGCACAAUGGGGGGAACCCUGAUGCAGCCAUGCCGCGUGAAUGAAGAAGGCCUUCGGGUUGUAAAGUUCUUUCGGUGGUGAGGAAGGUGUCAACUUUAAUAGAGUUGGUAA
rnacentral:rRNA from 1 species